UCUGAGAUAUGACAGGGUAUUAAGCUCAGGAAGAAACUGGCAGGGUACAUGCAGAUUUAAAUAACCAUGUCUGUACCUUUCACUUACCUCAAAGAGAAGGCAUUCACCAGAAUGUUCAGUAUUCCUCCAUGGCAACAAAAUGGGACAGUUAUAGUCCAGCCUACCCAUUAUUCAGAUGGCUCUGGAAACCUGUGCUCGAAAAGUUACAGAAGCUGAGUGUGCUGUGGUAGGCUGAGCCUGGCCAACAUCCAAGCACCCACACAGCCUGUUCGUUCUCUUCUCCUGUGGCAUGGAGACAAAGUAGAAGGAAGAAACAGCAUCAGGAUCAGAGCUGAAGUGAUGGCAAGCUGGAAACAGGCUGUAAUGAGCUGAAAAGAAGGAGCAUGAAGGAGAUCAAUUUAAAUCAAGAAACAGUACUAAAUAGAGCAUUAAUUUAUGGAUAAUAGCAGAAAAAGCAAAGAGAAGAGAAAUGGAUGCUUUUAACGUAGUGAAGUACACCUGUGGGCUCCAUGCUUGCAGCUGCCUGAGAUAGUCAUCCAAAUAUGCCACCCUGCCUCUACCAGCCUGCCAACAGAAGCAGUGUGUUCAUGCUGGGCUUUUCAGCUGUGUGGCAGUGCCACAUAGACCUUCUGUGAC